UCCCAUAUGGUGUAGUGGUCAGCAUAGGGCCCUCUCACGAAGUACACACCCGUACACGAGGUGAGGCCUUGACCCGGGUUCGACUCCCGGUGUGGGAA